rnacentral:rRNA from 1 species
GUCUACGGCCAUGCUACCCUGAACAAGCCCGAUCCUGUCUGAUUUCAGAAGCUAAGCAGGGUCGGGCCUGGUUAGUACCUGGAUGGGAGACCACAUAGGAAGACCGGAUGCUAUAUGAG